ensembl:lncRNA
GGUCCUUGGACCUCAAGCUAAAAAUUCUGUCUGGUUUAACUCCUUCAGCUCAUAAACUGGAAGGGCCCAUGAAUGAACAUGAUGACUUAGGCGACAGCAAGUUCAGUUGUGGAGGCUGAAGUUGGAUUGCUUUUGGUGGAGAAGAGAAGAGCUGAAGAGGAACAGGAGAUAGGUACAAGAGGGAAGGCUUGUCCCUGCGCCACAAGGUCUGCGUCCUCCGUGGGGAAGACUUGAACACCAAGAGUGAGUCAUUUGGCUGGAGGCUGAAAUCAUCUAGAGGUUUCUUCAUUCACUUGACAUCUUCGUUCUGGUACAUAUGGUUUGAACUUCUCGCAGCAAGGCAGCUGGAUUCAGAGAGGAAAUCUCCCAAAAGAAUGGAGCUCCAGGGUGUGGUAGGAUUGUCACAAAGAAAAGGGAACACUGUGGAAGAGACUGGACGCAUCAGGAGGGGCUUUCAAAACAUCAAGUUCUCUCUACCCUCAGCCAGAUUCAGCAUCUCAUUAAGGUAUGUCACUGUCUUCAUGAUUGCCAUUGAAGAAAAUAUUCUCUUGGAAAACAUAAGGUCGUGCAGAAUUUCUAACAGUGAAAUCUCAUUGGUCAUAUCCUAUUCUGAUGCCUCAUGGAGUUUGUCAUUUUUGGAGCUGCUAUAUUGACCAAUACAGACGUACCUGUAUUAGGCACUUUGGAAUUCAGCUGCAUUCUUCUACUUUCAACAAGUUACCUUCCUACCACUUCCAUUUGGGUGGAGCCAGAAGGAAGAAACGCCCAAACAGAUCUUCAGGAUCCACCCUCCCCAAUAGGUUCUCACGGCAGAGAUGCGCCUGGCAGGAGCUUCAACCCCAAGGCCACCCGCCGCCGCGGGUUCCCAAACCCGGAUAGGGCCCUAAUGGGAAAGCAGCCUGGGUUCGCCUCGGCCCAGCCUCCGCCAAGUCUUCGGGAUCUGACGACCCACAACAGCGCGAGGGCGGAGGGACCGGAGGAAGCAGAGGAAGAGGAGGAAGAGGAAUUGCUUUUGUCGAGGCUCCGCCCGGCGCUAGCCAGGCCUCGUGGAGCCUCCGGGGCUCGGGGUCCCCAGGGGGCGUGGCCUCAGGGGCGGAAGCGGAGCGCGGGCGGGGGCUCAGGCAGCGCGCGGCGCGGGGGAGGGUCGGAGCCUCACCGGGCGGGGCGGGGCCGCAGGGCCUCCCCAGAGCGGGCGGCGGAGCUGCACUAGUCCGCGCGCGGUAGGGCGGAGACCCCGUACCCGAGGAGAAGGCAAAUUCUUAAGAAGGUCUCCAGUUCUGCCCAUCCUGCCCCACAGUGUAAGUGACCAGUGCGGGUCGCCAGCCCGAGAGCCGGCAAUCAGGGUAGCUUCUGUUUUCAUUUUCACUUUCCCGCCCACGCCUCAGACUUGGAGCGGAGCAAGGCGUGGGGGCCAGCCCUGGUGUCACCGCCUCCGCCGCCAGGCUGGUCCCCUACCGGCGGCAGGCGAGGGCACAGGGGCAGUGGUGUGGGGGUUAGGUGCUCUGCAGGGUGCACUCUCCAAAAUGCUACCCUGCCCCGAGAUUUCCGCCAUCGAAGCAGUCCAGGAUAAAAUGCAAAUAUACUGGGGUCUUAAUUAGUAACUGAAGUGUUUCUGGCCCCCAGCUAUCUAAAAAUAUUCUUCUGGUUUAAGAGAUUAAGUGCCUUUUUCUUCUUUUUCUUUCUAGUGGAAAACUGGACGCUGAGAAGUACACGCCAGAUUUGGCGGCCAGGCUAGUCUGAGAGCUAUAGGACAUGGAGCACCCCCAGGGGAAGCAAGACAGGAUUCUCUCUCCCUCCUAGAUGUGAAUGUGUGACAUAGCUCCGCUCUCAACUCCUCUUUGCAGAUGAUUUGUGUUGUCAGAUAAUUCAAUCUUUCUAGUUUUGUGACAGCUUCUUAACUGAAUUCCUCCACUUUUAGUUCAGCUUAAGCCUUGAUUGUGUCAUCUACCCCAAUGCUAGACGAAAGAGUUAAAGGACCAAAAGAGAGUAAGCCUUUUAAAGAAAGAAAAGAGCUAUAUAAUUGCCUAAGUAAAGCAUACUUCAGCUUUCAUAACUGCAAAAUACGUUCAGUUUAACCAACCAAAUUUUGUGCUGGACCCUGGGAUAACACAUAUGUACUAUAGAUACUCUAGUAGGGAAGAUAGAUGAAUAGAAAGACAACUAUAAGUCAGUGUUAUACCUUUAAUAAUAAGAGCACAUACUAGGUACAAAAGUGGCUAACUGAAGGAGUGACUAAUUCUAUGAGGUAUCUGGGGACAGGGGUAUAAGAAAAAGGUUUCAGCCAGGAAUGAUGCCCAUCAGAGGGGGUGUUUGAAGCAUUAGCAGGAAUGGUUAAAAAAAAAAAAAGCUCAUGAGGUAGAUAGUAAUAAAUGACUACGAAAUACUGAUUGACAACACAGAAGAAAGUAAACUGUAAAGAGGUGAAUUCUCUUAAUUUUAAAUUAUCAGCAAAGAGAUUAGUUGAAAAAUGGGGUGAAGGAAUAAAGAACUCCUUUUAGUCAAGUCUUAAAAGUUACAGAAGUAAAAUAACGCUUCCAUAAUUCCCACUCCAGUAAAGACCAGUGUUGUUACAUUGGUGUAUGUUCCUCCAGGGUGUGUAUUCAUGACUGACCUAGUUUUCUGUAGAAAUGGAAUCUUCAUACACUGGAGGUGGUGUAGGAAAGUGGUUGCAUGUGCUGGCUUAGGCAGUCUGGUCUGGAGUGCAGGGUCCACUCCUUCCCAGUUCUGUCAUCUUGGGAAGUCAUUUCUCUUCACCUCAGUUUCCUCCUCUGCAGAAUAGGGCUAUAACUGUGUCACUUGUCGGUUGAGAUUUUAAAUGUCAGCAGAGACGUUUUGUGCAUGGAAAGGAACCCAUAAAGUGGCUUUUGUUUUAAUUGAUAUUUAAUUUAUUAGGAGUGUAAAAUUUAAUUCUAGUUACUAAGCAGUGAAACCCAAAUCUCAAAUUCACUUAUAAAUCUAUCAAUUUUAUGUUAAAAUAAAACACUUUUCUUGUUCUUUGCUUAAUCCUCAGUGAACAUAUUACUUUGACAUAUUAAACUUCCCAUUUAAACACUAUAAAUGGAAUAGAAUUUUCUUAAGUAUUACAUAUUAAAAUCACAAAAGCACACAAAUCUAACACAUUAAAUCCUCUUACAUAUUUAUAUAGUUUAUAAACCUCAUUUAUUAAAUUCCCUUGAAUAUGUCAAAUUUACAUGUUGCAGUAUCUGCUUGUCUCAACUACUACAGCCCCUAAUGAGGCAGAUUUCCACUCUGUAAAUCGUCCUGGUCCAUCUCUGCCCAGUCCUGAGCACUUCCUGUGGGAGUCUUCCAGACCACUGAAAGGGCAUUGGUCAGCAGCAUGGGCUCCCAGCCAGACUGCUCUGCUACUUACUGGCUAUGUGGCCUCGGUUAAGUCACGUCCCUCUUUGUGCCUCAGUUUUAUCAUCUGACAGUGGGGUAGCAAUAGUAUGAAACUCAGAAUGGUUGUGAGCCUUACCUGAGC